rnacentral:rRNA from 1 species
GCCAAACAGCUAGCUCAAACAUUUAAAUUCCCCAAUAUGAUACAAAACAAUAUCUUAAUAAAUAAACUAAAUCAUUCUUUUACCUGAGUAUGGGCGACAGAAAAGGUUAAACCUGGAGCGAUAGAAAAAGUACCGCAAGGGAAGGCUGAAAGAGAAGUGAAACAACCCAUUAAAGCAAAAAGAAACAAAGAUUAAGCCCUGUACCUUUUGCAUCAUGAUUUAGCAAGUACCCCCAAGCAAAGAGUCCUUUAGUUUGGCGCCCCGAAACCAAGUGAGCUACCCCGAGACAGCCUAUACAACUAGGGGCAAACCCGUCUCUGUGGCAAAAGAGUGGGAAGAUCUCCGGGUAGAAGUGACAGACCUACCGAACUUGGUGAUAGCUGGUUGCUUAAGAAAUGGAUAAAAGUUCAGCCUCGUGCCCCUCAUGCCGAAGUAAGUUCUUACAAAUGACUAAGAGAGAAACACGAGAGUUAGUUGAAAGGGGUACAGCCCUUUUAACAAAGGACACAACCUUUUCAGGAGAAUAAAGAUCAUAAUUUACAAGACUUACUGUUCUAGUGGGCCCAAAAGCAGCCACCUAAGUAGAAAGCGUUAAAGCUCAGACAGACAACGAUCUAUUAUACCGAUAAAAAAUCUUAUUUCCCUAAAUUUAUUAAGCCGACCCAUGCCCCCAUGGGAGAAAUUAUGCUAAAAUGAGUAACAAGAAGGCCUGCCCUUCUUCCGGCACAAGUGUAAACCAGAUUGGACAACCCACUGAAAAUUAACGAACCCAAAUCAAGAGGGUAAUGUGAACGAUAAAAAAACCAAGAAAACCUCACAACUCACCAUCGUUAGCCCCACACUGGCGUGCCACCUUAAAGGAAAGACUAAAAGAAGAGGAAGGAACUCGGCAAACACAAGCCUCGCCUGUUUACCAAAAACAUCGCCUCCUGCAACUUUUUACGUAUAGGAGGUCCAGCCUGCCCAGUGACUACGGGUUCAACGGCCGCGGUAUUUUGACCGUGCAAAGGUAGCGCAAUCACUUGUCUUUUAAAUAAAGACCUGUAUGAAUGGCCAAACGAGGGCUUAACUGUCUCCCCCUUCAAGUCAGUGAAAUUGAUCUAUCCGUGCAGAAGCGGGUGUAAUAAUACAAGACGAGAAGACCCUUUGGAGCUUAAGGUACAAAACUUAACCACGUCAAACAACUCAGUAAAAAGUAAGAACUUAGUGAAAAAUAAGACUUUACCUUCGGUUGGGGCGACCACGGAGGAAAAAUAAGCCUCCAAGCGGAAUGGGUCAAUACCCUUAAACUAAGAGAAACAUCUCUAAGCCGCAGAACAUCUGACCAAUGAUGAUCCGGCAUAAAGCCGAUCAACGGACCAAGUUACCCUAGGGAUAACAGCGCAAUCCUCUCCCAGAGUCCCUAUCGACGAGGGGGUUUACGACCUCGAUGUUGGAUCAGGACAUCCUAAUGGUGCAGCCGCUAUUAAGGGUUCGUUUGUUCAACGAUUAAAGUCCUACGUGAUCUGAGUUCAGACCGGAGCAAUCCAGGUCAGUUUCUAUCUGUAACGCCACUUUUCCUAGUACGAAAGGAUCGGAAAAGAGGGGCCCAUGCUUAAAGUACGCCCCGCCCCUAAUUAAUGAAAACAAAUAAACUAAAUAAAGGGAGGGCCAAAGCCCAACCGCCAAAAUAAGGACU